CUUCUUCAAUUACUACUCCUACCAAAAAGGAUGGUGUUUUCCAAGAGAAAAUUAGGGCUUGGAGACCCUCCACAGACUCGCUGACAGCCUGCUUCUGCAAGAAAAGCUCUUCCACUGACCUGCUACCAGCUAAGAAAACACCCUGCAAUCAUUAGAAGUCGUAUUUAUUCCAAACCCUUUAAUUGGGACUUCAUUUCACAGGGUUUUAACCGCUAUAAUCUCUGCUGAAUGUUGAACUCAAAAAGCAGAUGCAAAGCAGCCCUCAAAGAACAGCUCACGUCAAACAUUUAUCAGGUCUCCCAUUCUUUUCAUGCAUAAAUAAAUGCCUCUCUCCUUUA